rnacentral:rRNA from 1 species
CAGCAGCCGCGGGAAUACGAAGGCUGCAAGCGUUAAUCGGAAUUACUGGGCGUAAAGCGCGCGUAGGCGGCUUUUUAAGUCAGAGGUGAAAGCCCGGGGCUCAACCCCGGAAUUGCCUUUGAAACUGGAAAGCUAGAAUCUUGGAGAGGUCAGUGGAAUUCCGAGUGUAGAGGUGAAAUUCGUAGAUAUUCGGAAGAACACCAGUGGCGAAGGCGACUGACUGGACAAGUAUUGACGCUGAGGUGCGAAAGCGUGGGGAGCAAACAGGAUUAGAGACCCCCGUAGUCCCUGUCUCUUAUAC